rnacentral:rRNA from 1 species
GAUCUUGGCUCAGGAUGAACGCUAGCUACAGGCUUAACACAUGCGAGUCGAGGGGCAGCAUGGUCUUAGCUUGCUAAGACCGAUGGCGACCGGCGCACGGGUGAGUAACGCGUAUCCAACCUGCCUUACACUCUUGGACAGCCUUCUGAAAGGGAGAUUAAUACAAGAUGUUAUCAUGAGUAAGCAUUUUCGCAUGAUUAAAGGUUUACCGGUGUAAGAUGGGGAGUGCGUU